rnacentral:rRNA from 1 species
UACGUAGGGGGCUAGCGUUGUCCGGAUUUAUUGGGCGUAAAGAGCUCGUAGGCGGUUUGUUGCGUCGGCUGUGAAAUCCCGAGGCUCAACCUCGGGUCUGCAGUCGAUACGAGCAAACUAGAGUGUUGCAGGGGAGACUGGAAUUCCUGGUGUAGCGGUGAAAUGCGCAGAUAUCAGGAGGAACACCGGUGGGCGAAGGCGGGUCUCUGGGCCGAUACUGACGCUGGAGGAGCG